GUCUCUUUGAGCUACUCUUUAUGUCAGUGUGGUUCAUUCAGACUCUCUCCGAGCUCGUAUACACUCUGAAGCAAACCACAUCUGCGCAGGUACCAUAGAGAAGAGAAACACUCUACUCUUAAACACAGAAAGGCUGAAGGCUGACGGAGGAAAGAGGGUGCGCUUCACACAGGGCGGAGUCAGCACUGCUUCUGGACUCACUGGAUUGGACAAUUUACACCUGCAGUUCUGAUUUCAACUCUAAGCUGUCCAUAUUGGGCCAUCCUCAGCAGCAGCAAGUGGUUUCCAAGUGAUGAGCACUCCAACUAGAAGUAGGGCAUCAGGAUGGAUCAGGCAGGUCUGGAGAGCAGAAAGGGUCAGGAUCACUGGUAUCUUUUUGAAUAAAACCUUUUGUUAAUUUAAGGGCUAAAAACACACCCUGCUUAAACUUUCACUCAGUGUAAGAGAAUAAAAUGUACAACACGUUUUACAAUAUAUACCUGGACUUAAAACAAUAAACAUGCAAAUAAUAUUUGCAGGUAAACUUUUAAUAUUGUUAUGUGGGAACAAAAACAGAAAACCUAGUCUUUGGAUGAUGUUAGAAUUUAUUUCACUGUGAAGAUGCUCUCAAGAAAAAAAUAUUUUGUCAGAGAGAAACUUGUGGAUGUCAGCAGUGUGCAGAUCACCGUGGACAACUGGAAGGGGGGUCACACCAGUCGUUUGAGAUGGGAAAUGCUUGUAGCGCUGUAGGAUUAGCAAAGAGUCUGCUUAAAUGGCAUAUUAGGUGCGAGAUGUCCUGUCUAUUGUACAAAUGCCUAACGGACUGUGCUGUAAAUGGAUGCAAUGUUGACCUGAGACGUCUAACAAACCUCAUGAAUCAGAUGUGUCUUGUCUGAGGUACAGUGUGCGAAUGGACUGCUUUGUUAAAUAUGUGUAUUAAUGCACGCAAUCCGAUUUGGGCUUCUAUCACAAAAAUACUAGUCUUUUUUAUAUCUUGUGACUGAAUGUGGCAGCCGUGUUAGAAUUGUAGACAUUUCAUGUAUGUAUACAUAUGUGCAUGACUUGUGUGUAAUCCUUCUGUCGAGAAAUGAGCAGACUGUUGUCUGUGAAAUAAUCGACACAUUUAUCGCAUAUAUGGUCAGAAAGGCACUGUGAUGUGUAUAAAAUUUCUACACUCCCUCGAUGAUGUAUGAUAACAUUUGUGUUCUUUUACUGAAAUAAAUACCACGACA